AGUGAACGCUGGCGGUAGGCCUAACACAUGCAAGUCGAACGGCAGCACAGUAAGAGCUUGCUCUUACGGGUGGCGAGUGGCGGACGGGUGAGGAAUACAUCGGAAUCUACUUUUUCGUGGGGGAUAACGUAGGGAAACUUACGCUAAUACCGCAUACGACCUACGGGUGAAAGCAGGGGAUCUUCGGACCUUGCGCGAUUGAAUGAGCCGAUGUCGGAUUAGCUAGUUGGCGGGGUAAAGGCCCACCAAGGCGACGAUCCGUAGCUGGUCUGAGAGGAUGAUCAGCCACACUGGAACUGAGACACGGUCCAGACUCCUACGGGAGGCAGCAGUGGGGAAUAUUGGACAAUGGGCGCAAGCCUGAUCCAGCCAUACCGCGUGGGUGAAGGAGGCCUUCGGGUUGUAAAGCCCUUUUGUUGGGAAGGAAAAGCAGCAGGUUAAUACCCCGCUGUUCUGACGGUACCCAAAGAAUAAGCACCGGCUAACUUCGUG
rnacentral:rRNA from 1 species